rfam:Ostreococcus lucimarinus CCE9901 chromosome 14, complete sequence.
GCAUUCGUGCCCGAGUGGUUAAGGGGUUCGACUAGAAAUCGAAUACGGUCUCCGUGCGUAGGUUCAAAUCCUGCCGAAUGCG